rnacentral:rRNA from 1 species
UACGAAGGGGGCUAGCGUUGUUCGGAAUUACUGGGCGUAAAGGGCGCGUAGGCGGUGUGUCAAGUCAGGCGUGAAAUCCCCCGGGCUUAACCUGGGAAUGGCAUUUGGGACUGCAAGGCUGGAGUUUGGCAGAGGAGACUGGAAUUCCUGGUGUAGCAGUGAAAUGCGUAGAUAUCAGGAGGAAUACCGAUGGCGAAGGCAGGUCUCUGGGCUAUAACUGACGCUCAUGCACGAAAGCGUGGGGAGCGAAACAAGG